CAGAUAAUACGGAAAUAGAGUACAAGGAAGUUGGAAAAAAUUUAGUAACUAGUUCUAGAAAGUGUAUAGUUACACACACAAGUAUAUGUGAAGUUUAUAUCCAUGCAUGGUUGUGGUUUGCUUUGUUUUAGGAUUCCUUAAUUUCUGUGACAAUUGUAUAACCUUUAUAGAUUAUGUGUUCACUUUAUGAUCGUGUCACUUUGACAUAUGUAUGAAAAUUAAGCUGAUAUUACAGAUAAUGAACAUUAUAUUACAUUAUAUUACAUACAAUUUAAAUACAAUGCGUAUUCACUUUGUACAGUAACAGAUAUAUCUAAUAUUAUUAUUUAUAGAAUAUAUAUGUAUGUAUGUACGUACAUACAUAUUGUACAUAUGUCAACGUUAAAAGACGUCAAUUUCAAUGAAUCAUAAUGCUGCAUCAUCACAAUGACAUAAUAACAAUGAAUUUGAUAGAAAAAUCCUCACAUUUGGCUUCUGAGAAUACACGUAAAUGAUAAUAAUAAAGAUAAUAAAAAAGAAUAUGGAAUAGUUUACGGUACUUUAUAAGCUUUUAGAUUUCCUGUACUAAGUAUUAUUUUAUUUAAGAGAGAUAUAUGUAUAUCAUAAACCAUGUAUAAACAUAUGAAAAGAGAAUGUAGAAUGUUAGAACUGUAGAAUGUUAAAAACUUGUUCAUCGAUAUCAAUAAAGCUGAACAUAUUUAUUCUUUUAA